CGGGGCGUGGCGCAGUCUGGAAGCGCACCUGAAUGGGGUUCAGGGGGCCGGAGGUUCGAAUCCUCUCGCCCCGA
rnacentral:tRNA from 1 species